rnacentral:rRNA from 1 species
CAGCCGCCGCGGUAAUACGAAGGGGGCUAGCGUUGUUCGGAUUUACUGGGCGUAAAGGGCGCGUAGGCGGGCGAAUCAGUCAGGGGUGAAAUCCCAAGGCUCAACCUUGGAACUGCCUUUGAUACUGUUUGUCUUGAGUUCGAGAGAGGUAAGUGGGACUGCGAGUGUAGAGGUGAAAUUCGUAGAUAUUCGCAAGAACACCAGUGGCGAAGGCGGCUUACUGGCUCGAAACUGACGCUGAGGCGCGAAAGCGUGGGGAGCAAACAGGAUUAGAUACCCCCGUAGUCCCUGUCUCUUAUAA